CAGCAGCCGCGGUAAUACGUAGGGUGCGAGCGUUAAUCGGAAUUACUGGGCGUAAAGCGUGCGCAGGCGGUUCGUUAAGACAGAUGUGAAAUCCCCGGGCUUAACCCGGGAACUGCGUUUGUGACUGGCGAGCUAGAGUAUGGCAGAGGGGGGUAGAAUUCCACGUGUAGCAGUGAAAUGCGUAGAGAUGUGGAGGAAUACCGAUGGCGAAGGCAGCCCCCUGGGCCAAUACUGACGCUCAUGCACGAAAGCGUGGGGAGCAAACAGGAUUAGAUACCCCUGUAGUCCCUGUCUCUUAUAA
rnacentral:rRNA from 1 species